UACUGGCCCUGCUUCGAAGAAGGGGUGAUAAUGGCGGCGCGGUGCCUGUCCUCCACCAUCUCCCCACCCUCCAACCCGUUGAAUCGCGGGAUUCUCCUCUCAAGAGCUCCUAAUUUGAUCACAACCAACAUCCAUCAUGGCUUUUGUCAACAUGGUAGGGAUCGCAGGAGACAAUUAGUCAUGAAAACUAGGGUUUCAGCUGAAAAGGAUGUUCUUGUCAGAGAAACUGGUGCUCGUUCUGAUGCCGAUGAUAUUGGAGUUGUUAGCAUCCACCAUGUUGGGUUGCUAUGUCAAAAUCUUGAGAGGUCGCUUGAUUUCUACCAGAACCUUCUAGGUCUUAAGAUAAAUGAGGCGAGGCCAAAUGAUAAGCUUCCG
rnacentral:misc_RNA from 1 species